rnacentral:rRNA from 1 species
GCCGAGAGGUGAAAGGUUAACUGCCUGGGGAUGAGCUCGCGUCUGAUUAGCUAGUUGGAGUGGUAACGGCACACCAAGGCGACGAUCAGUAGCUGGUCUGAGAGGAUGAUCAGCCACACUGGGACUGAGACACGGCCCAGACUCCUACGGGAGGCAGCAGUGGGGAAUUUUCCGCAAUGGGCGCAGGCCUGACGGAGCAAGACCGCGUGAGGGAAGAAGGUCUGUGGAUUGUAAACCUCUUUUGAUAGGGAAGAAGAUAGUGACGGUACCUAUCGAAUCAGCCUCGGCUAACUCCGUGCCAGCAGCCGCGGUAAUACGGAGGAUGCAAGCGUUAUCCGGAUUUAUUGGGCGUAAAGCGUCCGUAGGUGGCAAACCAAGUCAGUUGUUAAAGCGUAGAGCUUAACUCUAUAAGGGCAAUUGAAACUGGUUAGCUAGAGUGCGAUAGGGGCAAGGGGAAUUCCCAGUGUAGCGGUGAAAUGCGUAGAUAUUGGGAAGAACAUCGGUGGCGAAGGCGCCUUGCUGGGUCUGCACUGACACUGAGGGACGAAAGCUAGGGGAGCGAAAGGGAUUAGAUACCCCUGUAGUCCUAGCCGUAAACGAUGGAUACUAGGCGUUGUCCGUAUCGACCCGAGCCGUGCCGAAG